GGGACUUCCGGUCUGGAUGAGAGGUUGGUGACAUUUAAGGAUGUGGCCAUAGACUUCUCUCAGGAGGAGUGGGACUGCCUGGAGUCUACUCAGAGGAACUUGUACAGAGAUGUAAUGCUCUCUGUACAAGUAAUGGAGAAUUACAGCAACUUGGUCUCAUUGGGAGUUUCCCUUUCCAAGCCAGACAUGAUCUCCUUGCUGGAACAAGAGAAGCAGCCAUGGACCCUGCCCAGGUGAAAGGGAGGGAGCUCAUCAGCAAAGAGACACCUUGACACACAGCUGACCCUAUGGCAGCCACACCUUUGAGAUUUUGAUUGGGAUGAACCCUGCCAAAGUCUAAGGCCUGACAUGGGAGAGAUGGCCUGAGACAUAGGGAGAAAAGUAACUUUUUUUUUUUUCCUUCUCAGAGAGGUAGGUGCCCUCCUUCCUUGUGAUCAGUAGUAGCACUCCCACGUACACAUUAAAUCUGAUUCCAUCCCAGCUUCUCUGACUUUUAGACUUGUAUAGAUACUGUCACCUGUGAAAUAUAUAUUUUUAAAACCCCCUCUUCAUUUUAUCUUCUAUUCAGUGACUUGUUCCCUCUUUGAGAAGUUUCCCAUUUAUUCAGUAAUUCAUGCUUUAUUCAUUCAUUCUUUAUAAAGUAUUGAUGUUUAAUUUAUGCAACACUUAUUUCAGGGCUUGGUGGAGUUAAAAUGACUAAACUAUUAAGAAAUGUGUCAUUUAAUAAAAGCGUUAGAACAGCCCUAUAAGCAAUUCUUAUAAAAUAGACUCUGCUACAGAAGAUAAGAUGCUUAGAUGCAAAUGGGGACUAGAAAUGCAAACAUGGAAGCAAUUAGGAAAAGGGUUUAUAUCUGCAUUGAGGUGGAAGGAGUAUGAGGGGAGAGAGUAGGAAUCGAAGAGGACAAGCUGUAGGGUUUAGGCUCAUGGAAGACAGAACCUGACCAUUAAGAAGAGAUGGCACCCUUGAUGGGUGGUCAUUGGUGUCUGUUGGGGCAGAAGUCAGUGAAAUCUCAGUCAAUGAAGGAUUCCUUUUUCCUUUAAAAUGUGAA